GACGAACGCUGGCGGCGUGCCUAAUACAUGCAAGUUGAGCGCUGAAGGUUGGUACUUGUACCAACUGGAUGAGCAGCGAACGGGUGAGUAACGCGUGGGGAAUCUGCCUUUGAGCGGGGGACAACAUUUGGAAACGAAUGCUAAUACCGCAUAAAAACUUUAAACACAAGUUUUAAGUUUGUAAGAUGCAAUUGCAUCACUCAAAGAUGAUCCCGCGUUGUAUUAGCUAGUUGGUGAGGUAAAGGCUCACCAAGGCGAUGAUACAUAGCCGACCUGAGAGGGUGAUCGGCCACAUUGGGACUGAGACACGGCCCAAACUCCUACGGGAGGCAGCAGUAGGGAAUCUUCGGCAAUGGACGAAAGUCUGACCGAGCAACGCCGCGUGAGUGAAGAAGGUUGUCGGAUCGUAAAACUCUGUUGGUAGAGAAGAACGUUGGUGAGAGUGGAAAGCUCAUCAAGUGACGGUAACUACCCAGAAAGGGACGGCUAACUACGUG
rnacentral:rRNA from 1 species